rnacentral:rRNA from 1 species
UGAGACACGGCCCAGACUCCUACGGGAGGCAGCAGUGGGGAAUAUUGCACAAUGGGGGAAACCCUGAUGCAGCGACGCCGCGUGGAGGAAGAAGGUCUUCGGAUUGUAAACUCCUGUUGUUGAGGAAGAUAAUGACGGUACUCAACAAGGAAGUGACGGCUAACUACGUGCCAGCAGCCGCGGUAAAACGUAGGUCACGAGCGUUGUCCGGAAUUACUGGGUGUAAAGGGAGCGCAGGCGGGCGAUCAAGUUGGAAGUGAAAUCCAUGGGCUCAACCCAUGAACUGCUUUCAAAACUGGUCGUCUUGAGUAGUGCAGAGGUAGGCGGAAUUCCCGGUGUAGCGGUGGAAUGCGUAGAUAUCGGGAGGAACACCAGUGGCGAAGGCGGCCUACUGGGCACCAACUGACGCUGAGGCUCGAAAGUGUGGGUAGCAAACAGGAUUAGAUACCCUGGUAGUCCACACCGUA